GGGCUUUUUGUUUUGUAAUUGAGGCGGAGGGGCGAAGCGGGGGGGAGAAAACAGGAUUAAAUACCCGGGGACUCCCCGCCCUAAACGAGAAGUGCGAGGGGUAAGAGGGUUUCCCCCCCUUACGGCGGGGGCUAAAGCAUUAGACCCCCCCCCGGGGGGGGGGGGGGGCGGGACGGAAACUCAAAGGAAUUUGGGGGGGCCCCCCCACCGGGG
rnacentral:rRNA from 1 species